rnacentral:rRNA from 1 species
GAGAAGAACGUUGCAUAGUAGUGGAAAAUAAUGCAAGUGACGGUAUCUAACCAGAAAGGGACGGCUAACUACGUGCCAGCAGCCGCGGUAAUACGUAGGUCUCCGAGCGUUGUCCGGAUUUAUUCGGGCGUAAAGCGAGCGCAGGUGGUUUAAUAAGUCUGAUGUAAAAGGCAGUGGCUCAGACCAUUAGUGUGCAUCCGGAAACUGUANAGACUAUGAGUGCAGUAGAGGAGAGUGAGAAUUGCCAUGUGUAGCGGUGAAAUGCGUAGAUAUAUGGAGGAACACCGGUGGCGAAAGCGGCUCUCUGGACUGUCACUGACACUGAGGCUCGAAAGCGUGGGUAGCAAACAGGAUUAGAUACCCUGGUAGUCCACGCCGUAAACGAUGAGUGCUAGUNGUNUGGGGCUAUCCAGCCCUAAGUGACGCAGCAAACGCAUUAAGCACUCCGCCUGGGGAGUACGACCGCAAGGUNGAAACUCAAAGGAAUUGACGGGGGCCCGCACAAGCGGUGGAGCAUGUGGU